GAUGAACGCUGGCGGCGUGCCUAAUACAUGCAAGUCGAGCGAACGGACGAGAAGCUUGCUUCUCUGAUGUUAGCGGCGGACGGGUGAGUAACACGUGGAUAACCUACCUAUAAGACUGGGAUAACUUCGGGAAACCGGAGCUAAUACCGGAUGAUAUUUUGAACCGCAUGGUUCAAAAGUGAAAGACGGUCUUGCUGUCACUUAUAGAUGGAUCCGCGCUGCAUUAGCUAGUUGGUAAGGUAACGGCUUACCAAGGCAACGAUGCAUAGCCGACCUGAGAGGGUGAUCGGCCACACGGGAACUGAGACACGGUCCAGACUCCGACGGGAGGCAGCAGUAGGGAAUCUUCCGCAAUGGGCGAAAGCCUGACGGAGCAACGCCGCGUGAGUGAUGAAGGUCUUCGGAUCGUAAAACUCUGUUAUUAGGGAAGAACAUAUGUGUAAGUAACUGUGCACAUCUUGACGGUACCUAAUCAGAAAGCCACGGCUAACUACGUG
rnacentral:rRNA from 1 species